UCCUAUGCUCUCCUAAGUAUAAAACAUAAAAUUAAAGCAGUAAGAGUAUCGAAUUCACCAAUUAUAAUGAGAAAUCAUCCAUAAAAUGCAUUAAACAUAGGGUAAAAAUAUAUAUAAUUUACGGUUUAUCAGUGUGCCACACACAGCUACCCCACACGGUCGUGUGUCAUUAAUGUUUUAGGUGCAGGUUUCACACGGUCUGAGACACGGCUACAUGACCCUAUUUUGAAUACCUAUAUGAGUUGAUACAUAACCGUGUUUCCAGACUUUGAAUGUCUACACGGUCUGUACUAUUUCACACAGCCUGGCCACAUGGCUGUUUGUCCCAUGUUUCCAAAAUUUUCAAGUUUUUCCAAAAUUUUCUAAUUUGUUUCGAACUGAUCCUAAAAUGUUCUCAAACUAUUUUUAAAGACACGUAGGCUCAAUUUAAGGCUCGUAAGUUUUACCAUGAUUAGAUUUCUAUUAUUAAAUGUUAAAAUUUAAUUUGUAUAAUUAUUUUUCUUGUGAAGCUAAAUAUUCUACUUUUCUCGGUAAUACUUUGUAACUCUAAUUUGACAACGGAGAUUGGUUAGGAGUGUUACAUUUAGUGGUAUCAGAGCUACUAUUUAGUCGAUUCUCGGACUGAAUGUAGCAUGUAUAGAGUUUAGAAAUACAUGUCAUUUUAUAACUUGUGAUAGUGUAAGGUCUCCUAACUUAAAUUAAUUAUGUUUUUCAUAUGGAUAAAAUAUUUCGUCCAACUGAGCUGAUUCUAAUGAAGUUGAGAGUAAUGCUCAAACCUCCAUACAAUGAGCAGCUAGUAGUGGGCCUAUUUGUAAGGGCAGGAGGCGUGGGAAGCUUUUUUCCAUAUGAUAACUGAGUGGUUUUCAAAUUUUAUUUGAACAAUUCUGAUUGCUUAGCAACCUCCACCCCCUCCUGUACCCUAAUCAACUCCCUCUAUCCCACAACAUUCAGAAAUGGUCCGUAUAAAUAGGCCUUAAAUUGAUAAAAUUCAUAAAUAUGACGCAGAAGAAUUCAGUGGUAAAGCUAAAGAUGACCCAGAAAAAGCUAAAUUCUUGUUAGAGAAUACUAUCAGAGUUUUAAAUGAACUAUCUUAUUCUUCCAAUGAUUGUUUAAAAUGUGCAAUAGCUCUGUUAAAAGACGGAGCGUAUCAGUGGGGGAACACUUUGAUAGCAGAGGUACCGAAAGGUCGCAUGAAUUGGGAUUUCAUCCAAACGAAAUUCAGAAAGAAAUAUCUUAAUCAGCGAUAUCUUGAUAAAAAGCGAAAAAAAUUUUAGAACUAAAGGUGGGUCACGUCAAGGUGAUCCUUUAAGCCCUUAUUUAUUUUUAAUUUGUAGUGAAGGCUUGUCACUGUUGAUGAGGCUAGCAGCAUGGAAAUGUACUAAUGAAAGGGAAAAUGUAUGUCGUAAGGGCCCUACAAUUAUGCAUCUUCUUUUCGCGGGUCAUUGCAUUUUAUUUAAGGACACCAAAUAAAGGGGAUCCCAUAACCUUAAGACCAUUUUACAAGAAUAUGAAAUUUGUUUCGGUCAAUGCAUAAACUUUAAUAAGUCAAUGGCAUUCUUUAUCUUAAAUGUUUCGAAGCAAACAAAUGAGCAAAUAGUAAGCAUUUUGGAAUUCCAAACCUCAAGAAAUCUGGAGAAAUAUUUGGGGCUUCUGAAAAUGGUAGGAGGGAUAAAAAAAAAGAACUUUCUAACUCCUAAAAGAUAGGAUAAAUAGCAAACUUAAAGUGUGGAGUACAAGAUUCUUGUUAAUUGGGGGUAAGGAAGUGUUCACAAAAAUAGUAUUAUAGGCAAUUCCUAUUUACUCUAUGGCAUUUUUUUUGUUACAAAAAUCAUUUUGUGCGGAAUUGAAAACAUUAUGGGUAGAUUUUGGAGGCAAAAAUGACAUGAUAAAUGUGACAUCCAUUGGUGUGAUUGGAGGAAGUUUGGGGAGUUAAAAGAAGAUAUAGGAAUGGUAUUUAGAUGUUUAUCUAAGUUUAAUGUGACAUUGUUAGGAAAACAAGGAUUACGUUUAAUUUGUUACCUAGAUUCAUUGUUAGCAAUCUCAUUAAAAGCUAAAUACUAUCCAAAUUCAGACUUCAUGCGAGCAAGGUUGGGGAACUUACUAUCAUAUACCUGAAAAAUUUUAUGAUCAGCUAAAGGACUUCUUGAGAUUUAAAGGAAUGUGUUGGCAAGUUGGUUCAGGAAAGUAUAUAUGAAUUUGGAACAAGGUGUGGGUUCUGAGCAUUGAUGAAUAUAAAAUCCAACAUUCAAAAAUCGAUCAGAAUCUAGUUUAUGUCUCAGAAUUAAUUGAAAAAAGCUCAAAUCAAUAGAAGGAAGAUCUAAUAAGAAGUACCUUUCACGUCGAAAAUGUUGAAAGGAUUCUAUUCAUGUCUCUCCUUCUCGAACAAAAAAUGGAUUGAGUGGUAUGGCAAGGAGAAGCUUCAAGGGUUUACACAGUGUAGAGUGAUUACAAAAAUUUAAUACAAACUGAGAGAUCAACAAAUUUACAAGCAAACCAAAUUAUUACAAAACCAUGUACUAAAAGCUAUGGAAGGUUGAAUCGCCUUCAAAAACAAAAAUCCUAGUAUGGAAAACCCUAAAUAAUUUUCAUCCUACUAUCUCUAAUCUAUAUCAAUGCAGACUAGGGAAUACAGUAAACUAUCCAAGAUGCUUAAACAAUACUGAAACCACUGAUCAUAUGUUUCGAGACUGCCCAUUUGCAGUUGAUGUUUGGUCCAGAUUAGGUAUCAGGUGGACCUUGGAGCAAGAUCAAUUAUACUAUAAGUACUAGAUAAAGGUUUUAUUCGAAAAAGAAUUUAAUCAUCGAAUUAAAACAAUAGUGUGUGCAAAUUGGGGAUUAUGGACAGCCAGAAAUAAAGUGGUUUAUGAAAAUAAGAUACAAUCAGAGGCAAGUUUGGUGCAAUUCAUUGUAGAAUAUUUACGGGAGGUAGAAAGAGUUAACAAGAAAGUACCAGUCAACAUAGUGGCAAAAGAACACUAGAAUCCUUUGAAGGGAAAGAAUGUUAAAAUCAACUUUGAUGCUGCAUUUGGUAAACAAAAUAAAAAGUCAUGUACAGGAAUCGUCAUCAGAAAUUCUUUUGGUAAUAUUUUAAAAGUAAAAGCUUACAAUAACGGGCAUAUACCGACGACGUUUACAGCAGAGGCACUCGCAUUUGUCUAGGCGGUUAGAUUCGAAGCAGAGUCAGGCUUUUUAAGAGUUGAAGUUGAUGGCGACGUGUUAGCUAUUAUUAAAAAAAUACUAAGUGAGGAAGAGGAUAAAUAUGAAAUCAGGGUUUAUAUUUUAGAUGCUAAAAGAUUAAGAAGCAACUUUGUUAGUUGUAGAUUUAAGCAUGCAAGGAGACAAACAAACAAAGUGGCUCAUAUACUUGCAAAAGAAGGUUUGAUCGAGAGCGAGAAUACUUAUUUGGCUUCUGGUCUUUUUAGUUCGAUAGUUAGGGCCGUCAAGGUUGACAUACAAGGUGGAAGAGGAGGAAGUUGAAGGGAUUAUGUAAAAUCUAAGGAACUUUACAAAUUUGAAUACAAGGAAACAAUAGAUUUGAGGGGUUGAAGAAAGAGUAUUUCUAUUUUUUAAGAGAAGAAAAUGAUAGGAAAAUGGAAAGGCAUUUGAGAUCCAAAGUUUCUUUAGUAAAAGAGUAACUAAAAUAGCGAGUAAAAUCGCUCAUUUCAGAGAUGCCUUGGAUCAAUUGAGAGUUUUGACGUGGUUGACAGUUAUCUUUCAG
rnacentral:lncRNA from 1 species